rnacentral:lncRNA from 1 species
GAAAAUAUAUUUUGCUGUCAUUACUUAUGUUUUGCAACAGGGUUGUAGUCACAUUUUUUUUAAUAUUUUUUUUUAGGUAUGUGUGGAUACACUUUGUGUUCUCCAAUUAAUAGUAUAGAUGCAAAGAUAUAACGAAUUAUAUGACAAACAAAAACAAAGGUAAUCAUCCUUGUCCCAAGAUUCCGAACUUUUGACCUAUAAAACUCCACAAAGAAAGGAAAAAAAAAACUCUACCUAUAAAACUCCACAGAGAAAGGAAAAAAAAAACUCUAUAAAUCUUCAUUGCUUCUAAAAGCUCCUUUAGUGUUUACGCAUCUAUUCAGCUGCGUCUAUUCAUUCUAGGCUAUGAAGUUUAAGCUUCUUUCAUAGUAUAGACUAAUCAAUGGAGAUUUACUGAAUUCAAUGAAUCGG